UACGAAGGGGGCUAGCGUUGUUCGGAAUCACUGGGCGUAAAGAGCGUGUAGGCGGCCAGGUAGGUCUGCUGUGAAAACUCGAGGCUCAACCUCGAGACGUCGGCGGAAACCAUCUGGCUAGAGUCCGGAAGAGGAGAGUGGAAUUCCUGGUGUAGCGGUGAAAUGCGUAGAUAUCAGGAGGAACACCUGUGGCGAAAGCGGCUCACUGGACCAUAACUGACGCUGAUGCACGAAAGCUAGGGGAGCAAACAGG
rnacentral:rRNA from 1 species